UGAUCAUUACUUACUUAGAUUGUUAAAGUCAUCUCCAGUUUGGGAUUACCUAUAUUAAUGUUUCAGCGUGGAUGGGGAGCAAAAUUUUGAAGCAACUUUGCUUUACAUUGUGGAGCUGUGUCAAGAUGACACCCUAGUGUCAUCUAGUGUUUUUUUGAUGACACAAAAACACCCUAGUGGUUUUUGAUGACACAAACCAAACUAAACCAGAACAAAAAAAAAAAAAAACAAACCAAACAAAAAAAUUUAAAAAUUCCGGAAUAGAAUUUGGAUGGAGGACCAGGAGAAGCCACCAUGACAGCUGUCACCAGAUGGUUGCAUUUCCAAAGAAUGGGCAGAGGAAAAACAGGCAGAGGCACAUGGAUGAGUCAUGCAGCUGUCACAGUGAACUAUUAUCUCUUGCUCAUGCCCUUGAAGAAAGCACACAAACCUCUAUCGUUGAGAACUACAUCUAGCUUGGAAUUCAUACCCCAUUCAUUGCAACUUUCCAUAUUUACUGAUAGCCAAAUAGAACGUAAACUGGUACAUGAAGCAAUCUGGAAGUUGAUAAAAAAAGUAAAUGAAAUAAAUCAUAAGAUUUCUUAGCAUUCUGCUUUAAUUUUGCUUGAUAUAUCUUCAUCACAAGUACUAAAUGCUAUUUCAUUUUUUGGCUUUCCCUGUGGGGUUACAGUUGAUGAUAAAUUAGGCUUUUUCCCCCCCCUUUUUUCUGAAGUUAUAGUUUUCUUUAUAAUUCUUCCUAAUUUUAUUUUUACCUUCCUUUAUUUGCCCCCUCUAGUUUAUAUUGGCUCCUGAAUUCUCGAUUUCGUAGUUAUUAUCUCUUGAGAGGACAUUUACAACUCCAGGAUUGCAAUGAUUUUUCUGUAUGCAUGUGUAUCAUGCCUGAGAAUUCAAUUACAUUUAAGGAUAAUAAAAACCACAACUGCAUAAGCUGAAUAUUCCAAAACAUAACUACUUUGUUGUUCAAUAACAUCUGACCCUUAAGUAUCAGAGUACAGCAAAAUAACAAAGGAUAAAUGACACAAUAAGGCAUAAAAUAUGUCUCUCAAUAGUAUUCUCACAGAAAGCCACAGAAAAUGGUUUACUUUUAAGAUAAACAGAGCAAAAGAUUCAGCCACAGAACUCUACAAAGGGGAAAAAACUUUCAAAAUAGCAGUGUUAAUUGAGGAGAAGCCUGAUAUUUUGACAUAGCAAAUGGUAGGGAUGAAGGAGAUGCAGGUCAGAAGCCAAACAUAAAUUAUGAGAGGGGCCAUAAACAUGAACCAGAUUUCACAAAUAGAAAGGGGAAAAGGUUUGAAGAGCCUUUAAUGUUAACAAUAAAAUUUUGAAGUUGAUUCUCAACUUUCGAGGUAGUCAAUGCAGUUGCCUAAGUAAAGGGUAAUAUGAGAGUAGCAAAAACAAUAAUAAAUUAAAAAGGAGGCAGAAUUUUCAACAUAUCACAAGCAGAAGGCCAAAGGAUUAGAAAUACUACAAGUUCAUUAUUGUUAGGAAUAACUGUGGUCUGAUAGAGAAUGUUGGCUGAAAAAUUCUAAACAAGUGUAAAAAUAGACUAUAAAUAGGGUAGUUAUUAUUCAUCCCAUAGUUACACAGAGCACACCUGUGCCUUUUUCAUCACUGAGAUUGAGAUAUUUUGACAAUGAUUUUUAACUAAAUGUUCUCACUGCACAUUGUCAGUGAUCAGCCAAUUGGAACAGUCUUGUUUUUCAUCAAUGGAAAGAUCAGAAGUAUUUUGGAAUUAAGAUAUUGAGAAAACCUGACACUCUAUAUAUAUUUGGCUCAAAUGUCCACAUUUCAAGAACUUUAAAGUAUCAUUUACUGCAAAUUCAUUUCUAAAUUGUUUUUCUUCCAGCUACAGAGAGAGAGAAUGACUAAAAAGGGCAAAAGAAACCUGAAGAGAUUAUCUAGGCUAUUUUCCCUAAAAAAACAUAUUACACCAGUGUACUCAGAUGAUGAAGACCUCAUGACCUUCAUUGUCUAUGCCCAUGUCUACCCCCAUUAUUCUUAAUAUUUCCAAGAUUCUCUUCAAUCCAGGAUUCUGUCUCAAUGAAAUGUAAACCUAUUACUCUUUGUGCUACAUGUCACAGACAUGGCAAGCAGAUUAAUCUCUUUCUUUUCACAAGGGUCUUUGUGUACUUGAAGACAGUUAGUAUGCUUUCUUUCUGUUCUUCCUUCUGGAUUCAGCAAGUUCUUAAGCAUGUAAGAAAGUACUGUUAGCUUCAAUGGAACCUAGUAGGGGCUCUCCCAUACUUUGAAUUAAACUUUAGUCAUUGGCUGAAACAAAGCCCAACUGAGCACUCAGAAAUCAACAGGGCAGGCAAUCAGUUUGGUAAACUCAUGGUGGGACAAUUUACAUCUUCAGUUUGAUGUCACUUGAGAAGUUAUGGGCACAGGACAAAGAAGAUGACUUCUCAGAAAUAUAUAAACAUACAGGUAGCCCCACCCCCAAAAGGGAUCACAUAAUCCCUGACACUGGGAGAUGAUAACUCUGGGAUGUCGCUCAUCAAGGUGUACGCAUCUAGGGAUGUGAAGAGAAGGUUCUAUCAAUGGCUCUGCCUCUGCCCACUUCUUUCACAGAGAUGGUAAUUUGAAGGUUGCAAUACACUAUUCUUCCCCCCUUUGAAAGUCAUCCCUUCGUGGGAUUCAUGACUUUGUAAGUCAUCUCCUGUUUUACUUAACCACAUGGACUAAGAUCAUAAUUUAGACUGAAAGAAGUGAAAUCUUGAUAUACAACCUGAAUAUGUAAAAAAAUCAAAGACCGUGUCCCUUCUGGAAACUCAUUUCCUGCUCUCAGUUACUGAGGCUCUGAUUGCAUGGCUCUUGGUUUAGGAGGUAAGAAUACCAAGAAACUCAACUCAUUCUUGAUCUCUGUAAGAAAAUAAUUGUCAGGAAAUUGAUCAGUUCUAUCUGAUAAUAUCUUUACAGCAAGGUUAAAGACUACCAGUUCAAAAAAAAAAAACCGAAAACAAAAACCUGAUUUUAGCAGAACAACAAUAACAGUACCAAAAACGUUAACCUGUCCUUAUUGACUUUGGUGUGUUGAUGUUUUCAGCGCAUUAUAAAACACGAAUUGGAAAGUUUUCACGUUUCCUUUGAUUGCACAUAGAACUGAGUGAAAGCAUAAUUUCAAGAGCAUAAAGUUUAAGCUCAGUGUAUUCCAGAACAUUUGUGACCCUAAUUGUAACAGACUUCCUACAAUAGGUUUAUCACAUUAUCUCUAGUAUGCAGUGAACAUACUUGUCAAACAGACAAUGAUCCUAUGUCCUAAUGGAACCAUCUUUCUUAAGCGCAUUGUAGCUUUUAUUUUUUACAAUAAACAUUUGUCCUAAACAAUAGCACUUAUGUGAAAUACAGUGUUUGCAAGGGCCUUGGGAGCUGCAUCUUGGGAACAGAGACUCAGGUACAGUAAUAUGUUUUCUCAAUCUUGAACGAAUUGUUAGUGCUAUAAUAAUAAUCUCUUCUCUACCCUGCAUAAUACUCAUGCAGAGCUUAAAGCUAUGAAGCUUUCUGUACUAUAGUUAAAGCUUCGAGUGAUUUAUACCAUUUGACAUGCAAACACUUGAAAAAUGUAAUCUAUCAUGGUAAUUCUGACACAACCUUAACUCUAGUGGCAAUAGCAGGUAUCAUUUGAUUACAGUAUCUCCUGCUUAUAACACUGCCAUGGUAAUUAAAGCAUGUCAGAACCAAAAACAAGGCUAGUAAAGACACAUUUUAUGACAGAGACAUUAACAAAAUUUUUAAAGCAUGAUCUGCUACAGUGUUAAAAAUGGAAAAUUGUGCUCCAAGUCAUAAUGAUUUAGUCCUGAAUUACAGAAAUUGUUGAAAAUCCUAAAUAUGAUGGCAAUUUCAACUGUCUUAAGCAUAACACACUCACAGGAGUGCUAUGACAAAUACAUUUAAAUAUCUUUAAUGCUGAGAAACCUGGAAAGGCAAUUAGCAGUGAUAAAAUUUGUAUUGAAUUUGGAUAAAUUUUAGACAAUUAGCCUUCUUCUAAAUGCAAUUUCUGGCCAAGAAAUCCAUAGGGACACAUGACUUAUCCACAUUUAUUACUCAUUAGAGCAGAGUAAUUCCUGUCAUGGUUGAACAUCAAGGGAUUUAUCAUCAUAAACUCAGAUCAGCUAAUGUACUGAGUAGUCCUUUCCUCCCAAGAACAAAUCCCUAGAUAAAAGAUAUGAAAUAUAAAUUGACCACAACAAAAAGAAAUGCAUAGCAAUAAUAUGCAUGGCAGAUAUGUAGUUAUUAUGCCCAAUAUGCGUAUAUAUAUUGUGUAUGCACGUAGUGUAUAUUGGUAAUGUAUUCAGAAAGAAGAUUUACUUCUGGGUACUUCUCUUAUGUCUUAGAUAGCAAAGAUAGUUUCUGCAUGCUGUCUUAGUGAUAAGUUCCCUUCCAAAUAUUUAUAGUCAAAUAUGCUCUAUGAACAGAAUUUUGUUACUCUUCUCUCAGGCAAAGAUUCCUUCCUCUCUUUAAAAUAGUACAAUAAGUUUGGUCUAUCUUUUUUUUUUUUUUUAAUAUCUUACGGUUCUUGCUUCUCCAAUGUAUCAAAAUUAGAUUCUUCCAAAUAAUUUAAGCAAAGAAACAACUAAAUGAUUAAAAAGCCAGAGUUCAGCAGACUUAAAGAUUCAGGUGUUUGAACAGCACAGCCUGUGCUUGAUUUUUCGAAAAGUGACUUAUAUUGAGAAUUAAUGUUUCAGUACAGAUCAGUAUGAUCUCCUUCAGCCUGAGUCACUUUAGAGCUGAAUGCAAACCUGAACAUUUUCAGAUGGAGAAGGAAUUAAAAAAUACAAUUUUUAUAUUACUAAUUACUUUUCAGCCAUCCUCACAUUCUUCAUCAUUAACUUUAAGGAAAAAAAAAUUAAGAAAUAUCUGAGACAGCUGGCUUUUGUGUCUUCCCACUGUAAUGAAGUCCUUGGAAAUUCUAUUUCCAUUUUCCAGAGGUUAUAAUUGAUGAAUUUCACAAAAACUUAAAGCAGGUUUCAAGAUGUAAUGUGAAAUUACCUUGAACCACCUCUUUGUCUUCUGAACUUACUUAAAUCUUUCUCUUUUAUAAUUAGAAAAUUCCACCUAGUUUAAGACUCUUGUUUUCCUUUAUUUUGUACCUACUUCUCCGUAUGUGAAUAGCCUUUUUUAAAUUAAGUUGCUGCACUCAAUUUCACCUGUAUUUUAAGGAAAUAGAUACAAUUCUCUCUGUAUAAACAGUACAAAUUCUUGGUAUUUUCAUAGAUCUGGAACGCACAUUUGAAUAAAACUGAUUGUCCCUUCUUACUGUGCUCUGGUUUGUGUUGUGGGUCAUUUUUGGAGUGUGCAGAUUGGAUGAUUUUUAAAUUGAAAAUAAAUCCAAAUAUGCACUCCUGAGAACAUCUAAUGUACUCUAUCAAUAGCAAACUUUCAGUCUGUGAGAACAGACUAGAGAUAGGCCAAACUUAAUUACACUUAAGGCUUCCAGGUCCUCAUGGGCAGCCUUGCUGAUGUCCAUUCCAAUCUUUACUGUGUUUCUCAUCUCGUUAAAAUAGAUAUAUUUCCAUCUGCUGUUCUCUACAUCUUCUUCAGUGCAAUCACCUUUCUGAAAAUGUGUUUGUCCUGAGGUUUCCUGUGACAAUGUAAAUAAUUCCAUCUCCAACAUGCUAUUCAUGAUGCUGUUUUUCCCAUAUAAUAGUCCAAUCAAGUCCUGUAUUGAUGGUGUUCUGCAAAAUUACUAUCAGAAACCAUCAUUAACAAUCUUUGUUUGCCCAUGGCAUUAAAGGAUAUAUUUAAUAAAACUGGUCUCAAAAUGGGUCCAUAGGUUUUUCAUAGUAUUACUGUAUUCCAAGAUAGUAAUUCCCUUUGCAGCAUAAUCCAUUAUCACCUCCCACUUAGCUCUUCUUAUCCACUUUAAAAGUUCUUGUACUAGCCCUAUAUUAUCAAAUUCAAUUGGUAAUUUCCCUUGUGGCACCCUAUCAAACGUUUUAGUGAAAUCUAGAUUGACUACACAGAACACAUUUCCCUGUCAACUGCCAUUUAAAACCCAGGGUAGUAGUGUUAAUCUGACAUGAUCUACCUUUAACAAAGAGGUUUUGCAUUUCACCCUGUUUUCUAUUUAUCUCCCUAAAUUUAUUCUUAUUCUUUUAAAAAAUAUAUAUUUAACUUUGAAAAUCUUUGCAUAUUACUGCGGUCAGACUAUUAAGCUUAUUAUUAUGUGAAUAACUUUUUAACUUUUAACAUGGUGUUUACUCUUCUGUAUUAAAAAAUAUCAACUUAAAGUUAAUGCACUUAUUGAACAUUCUGACUUACUGAAUAUACAAUGCCAGAUCUUUCAGGAUUUUGAUACAAAGACUGAUAAAAAUGAAGGUAAAGCAAAAUUCAAAGACAUUUGAGAUGAAACAAUUUUGUUACCCAGAAUUAAGUUAAUUAUAGGAUUAAUUUAAAUUAAUUUUAUAAUUACCAUCACUGAAAGGUAAUGCCUUAUUUCACAUAUUUAUUUAAUCCAGUGAAUAAUCUACACCAUCUUUAAUCUUAGUCACAAACUCGUGUAUGUCCCUUGGUUUCCAGCAGCUCUAGGAACUGUAUUAUAAACAUCACUCCGGAACUUCACUGCCGAAAUAGGCAUCCAGGUCCAAAUCAGGAGUUACAAUAUAUGGCAUAAAUAACACCACAGGUCAAGAAGUUCUUAAAACAUCCGGUGAAGGACUUUUGUGCCUGAGCAGGGCUCUGGUGAAGCUGAGAAAGUCGAGACUGAUGCAAAAUUUCACCUCCACUGCUCCAGGUUUCUGAGUGCUUCAGAUACCUACUUGCCUGAAUUCCAGUUCCCUGACAGGCCAGUAAACCAAAAAAAAGCGUAUCCUUAGGUAGUUCUGAAUAAGAUUUUAGCAUUACUUUAGCUGAUUGACUGACCUCUCUGGAGAACUUCAGUUGGGUAGGUGUACAUGAAAAUGACAUUAAAGAAGACCUGAAUGCCAGAUUCCAGUUAGUAUUCAGGUAUUAAGUUCCCGAUGGUAGUUCUGAAGAGAUUAUCAAUCAAAAAUGUAAAAAAGUAACCUGAUUAGUUUGACCAUUUCUAUGAUUACAGAGUUUGGGGUUUUUUUUCAGUUUGCAAGCUUGGGCUUAGAUGUUUCAGUUCUGCUUUAGAGCCCUGAACUUUCCCUUGACCUACUUUUAAAACCAGAUCCACAGAAGGGGUGAGGGCUUUGGUUCUGCCUGUUUUUGGCAUGAUCUAGUCACCCAAAAGCUGUCAGGCUCCAAGGCAAAAUUUUACUUCAGCUUGUUUCUGUUGCAAGGUCUGGCUGUAAGCCUCAGAGUUGCAAUACAGCCUAUGUGAUCGCAUAGCACUUGGAGUCCAUCAGUCUUAAGCUUUUCAGUUAACAUUUUACAAAGGGUCACAGUAAAAAAAGAUUUACUAUAUAGCACAGGUUUUUGAUUGGGAACAGAAAACAAUGAGUGUAUGUGACUGCCUGAGCUGGCUGAGAUCUUCAUACAGCUUUUUUUUAUUAAAGGACAACUGAAGUUUAAAGUGUGACUGGGAGUACUGUGUUGAAAACAGGUUAAGAACAGCUUGAUAUGUAUUAAUUAAAAAUGAAGUCUGGAUUUAAAAUGGAGAGCAGUUGCAUCUGGGGGAGUGAGCUAUGAAGAAGUCACUGGAGUGAGUUAUAUAUUCAUUUUUCUUAACCUUCAAAGUAUACCUUUAUUUGUAGAAUAAAGUAAUAGCUUCUCUCUGCCAUGAUUGGUUGAAAAUCACCAUCUGUAGUGGAAGGAUUUUUAGGGGGGUCAUUUUUGUUUAAGCCUGGUUACUCUCCUAAAUCAUUUUGUUAAAACAGGAUGAUUAGAUAAUGGAUAUUCUGCAAAUAGAAUUUAUUUUAAGUAAUCCGUAUAUUUUAUGUUGAAGGCCAGUUACUUGUUCAGUUAUUAAUCAGUAGCUGAUAAAAAUUAAGUUGUCCAAAGAUGAUGUAUAAUUUUAAUAUAUCUGUAAAAUGUUUAUCAAGUCAGAAAUGUUUAAAUAAUAAAUAAUAACCAUUCUACUAUUUCUUUAGUGAUAAAGCAGCCUUGUUUACAACUGUCGAAAACAAGGUAAAGAUAAGUAACAUCCUACAGGUGAUUUGUAAUACAAAUCUUUGUAAUAAUACCAUAAAUAUUACUCAAAUAAUUUGAUAUCUGUGGCCUUUAGUGCUCCAAGAAAAAGAGGGAGUCCAAAUACUAAAUCGGUUUUAAACACUGAUAGUGAAGAUUCCUAGUAAUUUAAAAGUUCUAUUUAUUUACGUACAAAAUAAAAAAAACCCAAACAGGUGGACUGACAGAGCCAGGCACAUGAAAUAUCCAAAAAGUAUAUAUUUAAUACUGAGUAUAAUUUUUCACUUAGGGAUCCAUUUCAUGGAUUGCAGUAGGUAUAUCUUGAAAGAAAGUUUACAUCAAAAUUGAAUCUAAUACUUCAAUGUACACAAGGUAAAAGGUGGAAAGAAUAAAAGCAGAGUCCCUUUUCUGAAGUGUAGUAAAUCAAUUGUAUUGACACUGCAGAACAACAAAAAGAGUAAAUGAAGUUUAAUCACCAAUUCAGGCAUGGAAGUAGAUAAUUUAGUGUCUUUUCCCAUCACUACACCUUCUCCCCUCUCCCCCCAAACUAACAUACAACCCAAAUUGGUGUAAUACACUCCUUACAUCUGCACUCCAAUCGUGCUGUUAUUUUCAUACAGAGGAUAAGGUGUGAUCAAGAAGUGAACUGUAACUGAACAAAUGCUCUACCUGCAGGCUGCCUUCAGUGUUGACAGUUCAAUUUUCAAAAUACUUGGUUCUUCAAAAUACUACAUCUUGCAAAGACAUAUACAUUCAUUUACCUGACCAAGAAUGGAGGUAUAUACCAGAAAAAUAGUGUGUUUUCUCCUUCAUAUUGAAUUUAUGCUGAUGCAUGCUCAAGAAGCACAACCAAAAAAAAAAGAAAAAAAUGCAUCUAAUUGGAUUCACAUUAGGUCAUCAUCUAUCUGUUUAUUGGAAAUGCUAUAGCAUAUGAGGAUCUAUUCAAGACUCAAAACUAUUGCUGCCUAAAAUAAAUUUUACUGCCCCAAAAAUAGAAACAGGAAAAAAACUCCUCUGCAGUCAUUCCUCUAAUACAGGGACUAAACAUGCUGAAGGUCUGGUCAUUAGCUUCUCCUGGAUCUAGGACAGGGCUAGCUUCAGCCAUACUGAAUUCAGCAUACAUGCAGAGUGUUUGCUAGCUAUUUGACCCUAAAUAGAACUAGUGUAAAUACAAGCAGGCUUCUUCUCAAUGAAUUAAAAAGCAAGCAAAUGCAUGCCCCUCAGAAGAACAAAGAGGAUUACAGGCUCUAGGAGCAGUAACUAUAGAAGGGGGAAUCUUACCAGUGUAUACAAAAAUCUGAAAGGAGGGUGCAAAGAGGAUGGACCAGUGUUGUUUAGUGUAAGGACAAGAGGCAACAAGAACAGACACAGGAGGUUUCCUCUAAACAUAAGGAAAUACACUUUUUCUGAGGGUGACCGAGCGUUGGAACAAGUUACCAGAGAGUUUUUGAAAUCUCCAUCCAUCCUGUUUAAUGUGCUGUAGGAACCCUGUAUGGGGAGGUUGGAUCAGACAGUCUUGAGGGGUCCCUUCCAAACUCAACAAUUCUGUGAUUCUGUGAAUGUCUGUAUCCGACUUCACUCCCUCCUGAAAUGAAGUGUCCUGGAGCCUGAUCUAAGAAGUAUCCACAGACAUUUUUAUUUUGCUUCUAAAAUAUAUGUCAAUAGAUUAUAAGGGUGGCACCAGCUCUUGAUUAUUUCACUCAUAAACACAUGAUCAUGUAUUUAUACCCCAAGUAAGAAAGCACCGAAAUAACUAUUUCUGUCAAAUUAAUGUUUAAUAAGAGAACUCACUACUAGAGUACUUCCAUAACACAUAGUUAUAGACUGACUCUAUCUCUUCUGAACCACCUACAUAGAUUCAAAACUGUGAAGUGAAACACUGGGGACUGGUUGUCUGAUCUGAACUCAAAUGACAACAAUAUUGGGAUAGAAAAUGUAAUAUCAUUCGGAGAAAAGAAGUGAACUACAUGCCUCAACUGCAAGUUUUAAAUUCAUACCUAAAUGCAUCCAUAUUUGUCACUUUAUCAUAGUCAAGAAGAAUAUAAAAUCAUACUUUGGAGGUGAGGAGCAAUAGGUUUGGCAGGAAUUCUCUCUUAUUCCCUGCUAUAAAUUUGAAAAGAUCACAGGCAAAGCUUCUGGGGGCAGGGAAGAGGAAAAAGUUUUAACUUUAAUUAGAGCCAGAUUACCCAUUGCUGUACAGUUUACUGCAAUAGUAUUUAACCUGGAUAACCCUUGUUAAGGUUUACAUCUGGUUUCCUAAGGAGGUCCAGGUAAAGGGGAAACAUUACAGUGCAACUUAGCAUUUUGAACACAGACUUAGUAAUCAAUUUCUUGUACAUUUUAAAAACUGAUAUUCAAGGAGAACGUAUAUUGCAGUGAUAAAUUCUGAAAUACCCUAUGUAAUUUAUUAACAAAAAAUCAUGCAUAAAAAGGAAAUAUAAGCAUAGGUACACACACACAUACACACCGAUACUCUCCCUACAACAAUUCCUGUUUUACUGAUUUAGUUUAUGGACCCAAACACACUGAAAUCAGCAGCCUCCAACAAUGUCAUUAUCCUGGAUUUUUGUGGUGCACUUGGUAUUUGUUUUUUCUGAAAAGAAAGCAGAAGUUAUAGACAGUAUGUAUUCCACAGUCCUCUGCCCUAUGGAAAGGUCUUGCUGUAGUCUUGCAAAGAGUGUAGACAGGGGUUUUCUAUCCUAAAGUAACUCUCUUAACUAUUCCUAUUUUGUAUACACCAGCAAGAAAGAAAUGAAGGAAUAUCAUACUUCCAUUACCAAGCUUACACCUUGUGAUGAUUCACACUUAUCUUCCACAUAGUUCUCCAAUUACAGCUUCAGUUAAAGUAUGGUCCCAUUUAAUCCAUUACAUAAACUAUUUUAAAUCUAGAAAAUUACUGAGUUAUAACAGCUGUUAAGACACUGUAUUUGUGAAGGGAGGAGUUCCAGAAGGAAAAGCAAACUUCAAAUGAAUCUUUCCACAGAAUUCGUAUCCUGCACUGGUAUUGCAGAGAUUACACUAAUGACAAUGGGACAACAACACCCAAGGUGGCAAAUUCUCAAUAUUCACAAGCUUAUCCAUCAAUGACAAUGUACUUGGUGGUUUCAGGAUUUUUUUUGGUGCAAAACCUAUGAACACUACUUUUCAAGAUAUUUUUUCCUGAGUCAGUCUCUUUUAAGAACUGAUCUGUACUGUGUAGUGGUAGGGGGUGCUGGAGUGAUAUGAUCUUGCCAAGUAGGGAGUGGAUGUAAUAAACCUUGUAAUUUUUAAAUUAUGUAAUAAACUUUAUAUUACUCACCAAUA